GAACAACUCUCAGCAACGGAUAUCUUGGCUCCCAGCGAAAUGCGAUACGUUAUGUGAAUUGCAGAAUUCCGCGAAUCAUCGAGUCUUUGAACGCAACUUGCGCCCGAGGCUUGUCCGAGGGCAUUUCCGCUAGAGCGUCACC
rnacentral:rRNA from 1 species